rnacentral:lncRNA from 1 species
GUCACACUAUUAUCAUAUAUUUGACUUUUUUAUAAGGCUGUGCAACAUCCAUGCUUAUUUACAAUAGUCUGGUAUCUGAAAAGGUUCACCUUGCAGUCUAGCAGAGAUAACUGUAUGUUCCGUUAUUUUACUUAGGUAUAUUACUAUUUCAGAAGCUGUAGAGGUUAGUGAUGAUGAAACUGGGUCAUCUUAUGACAGAUAUCACCGCAUGAUAAAGCAAGAGAUGGACCAAAUGGAAUGAUGAUAUGGAAUAAUAAGACUGGAUACACAGAAAUUACCUCAUAAUUGAACAACAGAUGUUUUAAGAACAAGCUUAAAUACCAAAUCUGUUACUUAUCAUCUGUAUAAAUACCAUAUGAAUAAGGAAAAGUUAUCGAUAUCCUAAUGUCUUUGUUAAAAAUAGUACUGAUAAUUAAUAUAUAACGAGAUCUUAAGUGUCAAUCUUUGUUAGAAUCAGACAAACAUCAAAACAUCUCCGUUUCUGACAGGGCUGCCAAGUCUCACGCUAAAUUGCCAAGUCUUACGCAUGUUCAUGAUUUUUUUGUGGCAUUUUCCAUUGAUCUAUUGUAUUUUCUCUUUGAUCUUUUCUAUUUUGGCCAAAUGUCACACAUUUCCUUCAUGAAAAGUUGGCAGAACUGUUCUGACUGUCUAGUAUUUUGAGAAAUCUAUUGAUAACUGUUGGUUAGAAUGAUAGUAAGGAGUUACCUCCCCAUUAAUUGUAAAUUUCUAGUGCAUUUCAUCCAAGUUAUAUCUUGUAAUACCAGAACAGGAAUAGGAAACAAAUGUUUUAAACAUACAUUAAUGUAAACUUGAGAUGGUUUUUGUUAGUCAUGUUUUCAUCACUGCCUGAUUGUUAGGCAGAUUGGCACUUAAUUAUACCAAUGCAAUGCAAUUGAUAAAAUAAAAAUAAAAACAAUUGAAAUUUUUAGAGGAGUGUGAACAAGAUAUAUACUUCUGUAUGGAUAUAAAAGCAAGAAAUUUUUGUGUUCAGUAUUGUGCAAUAUAAACUUCAAAAUAUGAAGAUGUGUUUUAGAAAGUAGAAAUCUGAUCUCUGUAGUCAGUAAGGCAAUUGGUACAAAAAUAUCAAAACAUGUUCCAAUCCAAAUAUUAUCUGCACUUCAUCUUGCAAACUUGACUAAUUUACUUGCUCAGACAUUCAUUUAUCAAAUAGCGCUGUUUAGAUUACAAGAUGUAUCAAGUUUAUAUUUUAUAUGCCAAAGUUUUAACUCAGACUUAUGUUGGUAAUAGUGAUUACAUAUAUACAUUGUAGAUUUAUACAUCUUAAGUCAUGACUUUGAAAAAAGAAAAUGUUCAUCAGAAAAGCUUUUAUACAUUAAGGUUUUGUCAACAUCAGAUUUAAGUUUAUAUAUUUGAAUUUUAGCCAAAAAGUAAUAUCUUUUAAAGAAAAAAAUGAUAUUAAUUUUGGUAAUAAGUAUAGAUUAUAACAUGCCCUUUUCCAUAUUGGCCUGCUAUCAUCCCGAGACUCCAUAUCGGCCUCGAGGCUUUAGCGAGGGAUAUUGCUCGAGGAUGAUACCGGCGCCAAUAUGGAAGACAUGUGUAUAACUUUUAUAAUAUUUAAGUUCUGCAGAAAAGAAAAAAAACGUAAUAUUUAUCUAUUUAUGAUACAUAAAAGGUAAAAUCUUAAGCAAAUUAUCCAAACGUGUUGUUAAGAUGCAAUGACGUACAUCAUUAGAAACAGGCACAAUAUGGAUAUGUUUUUUGCCCGCAUUUUGAGGUUAUUGCAUAUGCAAAACUAAUGUAUUCAUAACAAAUAUGUGAUAAAUACACAACUUUAUUACAGUAAUAUAAUAUUUAGAAGAUGAUGUGUUUUAUUUCCUAUUAAACAAUUGUAAUGUAUUCAUUAAGAUAAUACCAAACAUCUGGUCUAAAAUUAAUUAGCUUGUUUAAUUUUCACAAAAAAAUGAAAAUUGCAAUAAACAUGUACCACACACUUUAUUGAACAAAUUUCAUUGGAUGAACAAGAGUUUGACAAACACUUAUUUUGAUCACUGAGAAGCUUUUAAAAGAUUUACUUAACAAUAGAACUUAAUCAAAAUGUCAAGCUGAAUUUUACAGAGUUAUCUCCCUGUAGUUUUAUGUACAAAAGGAUGAAGAUUUUAACAAUUACAGGUGUAUUCAACAAUAGGCAAGAUUCAUCAAUCAUAGUUUAUGAAAGAAACAAAGAUGGUACAUAAAUUUCAUGAGCAAUUAUUUUUUUAAUUUGAUUUUUAAAUCAGUUGAAUGAUCUCAGACGAGAAAUGACAAAUUCUUAUAUCUUAUGAGUUAAAGUGCUAGAAAUAUCUACGAAGAAAGAGAAACACAUCUGGAUAUUCAUCCAAGCUUCUGUCUUUGUGUAAUAAUUGUUGUUUUACUAUAAGGGAUUUUUACUUUUUAUUCACUAAGUGAAAUAAAAUAAUAUAUUGAACUUUAAAAUUACUAUGUAAUGAAAUAACUUGUCAAUAAAAUUAUUUCAUAUUUUA